AUUGAACGCUGGCGGCAUGCUUUACACAUGCAAGUCGAACGGCAGCGCGGGCUUCGGCCUGGCGGCGAGUGGCGAACGGGUGAGUAAUACAUCGGAACGUGCCCAGUAGUGGGGGAUAGCUCGGCGAAAGCCGGAUUAAUACCGCAUACAACCUGAGGGUGAAAGCGGGGGAUCUUCGGACCUCGCGCUAUUGGAGCGGCCGAUGGCAGAUUAGCUAGUUGGUGGGGUAAAGGCCUACCAAGGCGACGAUCUGUAGCUGGUCUGAGAGGACGACCAGCCACACUGGGACUGAGACACGGCCCAGACUCCUACGGGAGGCAGCAGUGGGGAAUUUUGGACAAUGGGCGAAAGCCUGAUCCAGCAAUGCCGCGUGUGCGAUGAAGGCCUUCGGGUUGUAAAGCACUUUUGGCGGGAACGAAAAGGACUGUGCCAAUACCACGGUUCGAUGACGGUACCCGCAGAAUAAGCACCGGCUAACUACGUG
rnacentral:rRNA from 1 species